CUAAGGCUGUGUAGAUUGAAUCUUAGUGUGCAAUUGAGUCGCAUUGUACUGGUUUUCUUAGUUUUGAUCUACACAGUAGCUGUCUAGUAUGAAUUGCUAUGUUAUUAGGCUUAUCCCUAUUCGGCUACAUGUCACUGCUCGAGUUUUAGUUCACUAGCAUGAUCUAUUAAGUUAAGAUUAGACCGAAAUAGAUCUAAGUUAAGCCAAAUUUCAUGCCUAAGCUACUAGAUCAGAUCCUAAUUCAU
rnacentral:lncRNA from 1 species